GACGAACGCUGGCGGCGUGCCUAAUACAUGCAAGUCGAACGCAUUUUCUUUCACCGUAGCUUGCUACACCGAAAGAAAAUGAGUGGCGAACGGGUGAGUAACACGUGGGUAACCUGCCCAUCAGCGGGGGAUAACACUUGGAAACAGGUGCUAAUACCGCAUAAUUCCAUUUACUGCAUGGUAGAUGGAUGAAAGGCGCUUUUGCGUCACUGAUGGAUGGACCCGCGGUGCAUUAGCUAGUUGGUGGGGUAACGGCCUGCCAAGGCUGCGAUGCAUAGCCGACCUGAGAGGGUGAUCGGCCACACUGGGACUGAGACACGGCCCAGACUCCUACGGGAGGCAGCAGUAGGGAAUCUUCGGCAAUGGACGCAAGUCUGACCGAGCAACGCCGCGUGAGUGAAGAAGGUUUUCGGAUCGUAAAACUCUGUUGUUAGAAAAGAACAAGGAUGAGAGUGGAAAGUUCAUCCCUUGACGGUAUCUAACCAGAAAGCCACGGCUAACUACGUG
rnacentral:rRNA from 1 species